AACGCACCUUGCGCCCCUUGGCAUUCCGAGGGGCACGCCUGUUUGAGUGUCGUGAACUCCUCCACCCUCUACCUUUUACGAAGGGCAUUGGGCUGGGAUUUGGGAGCAUGCGGGUCCCUGGCCGAUCCGCUCUCCUUGAAUGCAUUAGCGAAGCCCUUGCGGCCUUGGUGUGAUAAUCAUCUACGCCUCGGUUUAGCGAACAUACGGGAAUCGCUUACAGCCGUCUCGCAAGAGACAACGACUACCAACUUGACCUCAAAUCAGGCGGGACUACCCGCUGAACUUAA
rnacentral:misc_RNA from 1 species